UACGUAGGUGGCGAGCGUUGUCCGGAUUUACUGGGCGUAAAGGAUGCGUAGGUGGAUGUUUAAGUCAGAUGUGAAAUACCCGAGCUUAACUUGGGUGCUGCAUUUGAAACUGGAUAUCUAGAGUGCAGGAGAGGUAAGUGGAAUUCCUAGUGUAGCGGUGAAAUGCGUAGAGAUUAGGAAGAACACCAGUGGCGAAGGCGACUUACUGGACUGUAACUGACACUGAGGCAUGAAAGCGUGGUAGCAACAGGG
rnacentral:rRNA from 1 species